rnacentral:rRNA from 1 species
AUUGAACGCUGGCGGCAUGCUUUACACAUGCAAGUCGAACGGUAACGGGGACUUCGGUCUGCCGACGAGUGGCGAACGGGUGAGUAAUAUAUCGGAACGUGCCCAGUAAUGGGGGAUAGCUCGGCGAAAGCCGGAUUAAUACCGCAUACGCCCUGAGGGGGAAAGUGGGGGAUCUUCGGACCUCACGUUAUUGGAGCGGCCGAUAUCAGAUUAGCUAGUUGGUGGGGUAAAGGCCUACCAAGGCGACGAUCUGUAGCUGGUCUGAGAGGAUGAUCAGCCACACUGGGACUGAGACACGGCCCAGACUCCUACGGGAGGCAGCAGUGGGGAAUUUUGGACAAUGGGCGAAAGCCUGAUCCAGCAAUGCCGCGUGUGUGAAGAAGGCCUGAGGGUUGUAAAGCACUUUCAAUCGUGAAGAAAAGUUGCAGGCUAAUACCCUGUGACCUUGACGUUAACGAUACAAGAAGCACCGGCUAACUCCGUGCCAGCAGCCG